rnacentral:lncRNA from 1 species
CCAAUCACCUCUGCCUGUUCAGGUCUGAAUCUUUGGCGAACCAGAAUAAACAAAAGAACUCUCUGGCCUCUGAACCACUUCUCUGAACUGCCUCCCCUCUUCCCUGGUUUCAAGGACCGCAUGCAGACUUUCUAAAUCAAUUGGAGUUCUAGGAGUUAAAGAGGGAGAAAUCAAGAAGACAUCAUGGAAGAGGGGGAGAACAGCAAAGAUCAUUUACCACCUCGCCUCUCAUGUGUGGUGCUUCUGGGAAUGGAAAUGUCCUUUGCGGUGGCACCAAGGAGCUCCGGUUCAGCGUAGGACCGAAGGCAUGGUUCAGCGUCUGCUUGGCUGCCCAAUGACACUCCAGUCCAAUCGCAGUUUUGCUAAAGCGUUCACCUGCAAAGGUCACCCGCUCUAAGCAAGAAGCCAGCUGAAGCACAGACUGAGAAGCUGAUGUUA